UACAGAGGUCCCGAGCGUUGUUCGGAUUCACUGGGCGUAAAGGGCGCGUAGGCGGCCAUCUAAGUCAGACGUGAAAUCCCCCGGCUUAACCUGGGAACUGCGUCUGAUACUGGACGGCUCGAGUUUGGGAGAGGGAUGCAGAAUUCCAGGUGUAGCGGUGAAAUGCGUAGAUAUCUGGAGGAACACCGGUGGCGAAGGCGGCAUCCUGGACCAACACUGACGCUGAGUGAGCGAAAGCCAGGGGAGCAAACGGG
rnacentral:rRNA from 1 species